rnacentral:lncRNA from 1 species
CUUGACAAAAUUUCUCUUUAAGAGGAUAUUCUUGUUUUAUUUCCUAGAUGCUAAUGCUACAUCAGAUAUCCGAUGUGAUUUUUGUGUGAGGUUAUUCUACUGAAUUGGUUUGUGGAAAUGUUAACGACUAAGGUUUUAACGGGACCAGCAGUAACUAUUUAGUGGUACCAGGGCUGCAAAUGUACAUGAGUUUUCCGCGAAGAAAAAUGUAGGCAACCACCAGUUUCUGUUUGAAAAUAAUGGAGUCAGUGCCUGGUGCUCACCAGCUCUACCGUGGGACUCACCUGGAAGACUGAGCUGUGGGCCUUCGCAGACCAAAGCCUGGACACAUUCAGAUGCACAGCUUCUAGCUGUGCAAUAAAUGAACUCAGUAAGAAAAUACAACCCCAGCAGAGAACUAUGGACAGACAUACUCAUGGAGACAGGGCUGGGGCCGGCCACAGAAGGCCAGCUUUCAUCCAACGAGAUCCAAGACGAAGGGAAAAGGGUUCUGUUUCUCCUAAGGAGAACUAGAAGAUAUCCAUGACGGAAGGAAGGUUCCAGAGGUAUGUAUCUGCCAUCUCCAAAGUCAAGGAGCCUCAGAACUGUAGCCUCUGUAGCUCUGGAGUAAAAUAGGUCAGUGACCAGCUGCUAUCGAAAUCUGCAUUUCAACCCACCGAAGAAGUGGCUGUUUCACAAUCAGAACCUGCUGAAAACGGAACGAGUUGCUUGAGGAGGUGAGAAGCCCUUCCGCUCUAGGUGAGGGAGGAAGGGGGGCCUUGGCUGAGCUGUCUCUCGGGGUACUGUGACGAGCUCCUGUGGUCUGUCUUCCAGGGUUGGAAUCUCCUAUUUAUGAUUCUCCUCAGUGUCCCCAUUUUUCUCUCUAGGAGAAUACCUGCAGCAUCUGCUCCAUGUCCUUCUGUGGGAUGCCUCCUUCCUGUCCCCAGCAACUUCUCCAUCCUUGACUGAAUCCGCCUUCUUUCCAGUCACCUGGGAAGGCCCGCCGGUCCUCCUGCACAUCACACCACGGCUCACCCUCACACAUGGCAACCCGUGUGCUCUGGAGAGUACCAAGAGUGAACUCCAGGGCAGGAAUCACAGUGAAAUCUCCAGCGCUUCACCGUAUGGGCAGGAAAACUGCAGCUCCUGGAGGUGGUACGAAGUGCCCAGGGCAGCAGGAGCCUCCCAGUGGGUCAGCCUGACUCCCCGUCUUCAGGUGCGGAUGGCAGCCAACCCGCCCUGACCUCACCCUGGACCAUUCCUCUCGCUGAGGCCCCGGCUUGCUGAGGCCGACUGGUUUCUUGGAAUGUGACAGGAAGAAAUACACAGGCUUUUCUUCACCAAAGAGUCUCGGUGACUCCUUCUGGUGUAGAGGUCUUGACAGAGGCCCUGAUUCAACAAGGAAGUGAGUUCUGCAAAAUAAAGCAAUGCGAGUCCCAAGGAGAUGGGAUUUUCCUUCUCAGCUACCACCUAAAUUGCAUAUUCCAUUUUUUAUUUAUUAAAAAGUUAGUGCAGAUUUGAGCAAAAACUAUUUUCUCAAUUCUGAAACAGAACAAAUCUGGGAUGUCAGAAAUCUCAAACCAGAUCUGUGCCAUGUAUUUGUCUCUCAUUCUGAGUUCUUAAUCAGUGUUAAAUUACUACAGAUGGCAUGGAUAUUGUCAUCCUGUAAACACGAGUUCACCCAGAGACGAGUCAGCCCACAGCCCAUCUGGAGACAGGCAGCAGCCACCACGCGCCAAGUGUGUGUUAGUCUCCUGUGCCCUGCUAAAGCCCACGGCCAUCCUGGAGGUAGACGCUGUUCUCCCGGGUCUUUGAGAGACAAGGGCACCUGAUCGUGUACUUUACAAACCGUGGGGCCAGGGCUUGAGUGCAGAGCUUGGGAGCUCUUUCUUCUCUUUGCAUCUCUUCCCAAAGAAAGCCCCAGAGGUCACCAACAGACUGUGGGGAGUUUGCCGAAGGGGAGCGUGUCUACCUUCAGAAAGGAGACCAAGGAGGAUAGGACAUUAGGAGUGGAGAAGAAUGUCCAAGUGUCCAUCAAUCCAAGCAGAGAAAACAUGCCCCAGGCAUGGAGGAGACAAGUGGGGAGAGGUGUCCAAGUCCAUCAGCAAAACAGGCUGAGCCAGACCUCACCUUGAAGGGGGCCACUGCCCACAUCACCAGACCUGUUCCUCACUGGGGUCCUCUGUAGGAGGUGGCCAGGACCAACAGGGCAAUGGUUUGAAGUAGGAGCUGUGGGUAUCUGUCAGCUGUGGGCCCACAGCCAAGGCACACAGCUCUCCUGGGAACCGGCAGCCCAAGCCUCACUGCCACCCGGCUGUCACCGUGCACCUCGGCUGUCACUGCGCACCUUGUGGGCAAGGCGCUUAGAGGCCUCAGAACUAUGUUUUUAAAAUGCAAAUUAUUUUCUAGAGAUUGCAAACUUCAGAGUUCUAAAACCAGUAAGAGCAAGCCGACUUCUCCCACCAACUCUAUUCAGAUUCAUGGAUUCAAAGUUGGAGUUCACGUUUUCUUUCUUAUUUUCUUUUUUCCUUACUUUGCACUCUCUUCCUUAUUUCUUCUUCCUUUUCUUCCUCAGUUUUAAAUGACUUUUUAAGUAGACUCUGUGUGGAGGUUAUGAAGGAGCUUGAAGAAGUCAGUUACCCACGUGGAGGAACUGGGGAGACGGAACAUGUGUCCCUACAGUGACUCUAGUAGCCAUGCGGUAGGUCUCCUGCCUCUUCAAGAUGUGUCACCUUCUCUCAAAUCCAAUCAUCUCUCCACUUCUACUUUGUUUUGAUUUUUUUCAAGUUUCCUGCCUUCCGAAGUCUUCCAUUUUUCUAAAGCCAUUGUUUAUCACCUUUGACCAUUCUCAUCUUCAUUUCUCAAAGAUCACUUCCAUUAUUUCAAGUUCUUUUCCAAGCUCUGUAACCACAUUUCUGAAUCUAUUUAAUUCAGUUUAAUCUCUGCUAACCUAAGUCAGAAUAGUUGUUGCCUCUGAUAAGAGGUCGGCACUCAUGGAACAUUCUAGGUCUUGAUCUUGAUGAGGUGAGGUUCAGGGUGGACAUUUGCCGUCACUUAGUGAGCUAUGUCCUUAGGGGUUGGCUGUUUCACCACAUGUAUAUAAAUUGUACCUUAAUAAAGUACUGCUGGGGGUGGGGCAAGAAUCGUUCAAGCAUGACCCUGGCAGUUCGAUCCCCAGCACAGUCAUCUGCUUCUGCUAAAUAUUUUAUUUUUCCAUAAAAGGUAGGGACCUAAAUAUACUGGAUGAGGCUCCUGUGGAGAUUAACCGAAGCUCUAGUCUCUGUAGCAUCAAGGUAGGGCUCCUUCAGGGACUUCCCGAUCUCCGGCAAGGGAAGUCCAGUGCCCCUUUGAACCACUGUAAGUGGUUCCUCUUUAAUCGCACAAGCCCACGGGUUUAAUGAAAAGUGCCCAAGUUCAGGACAGGCCUUUCCACGCGUAUAUUCUGCCUCCUUGUCUGGAGAAUAGUCCCCUCCCAAAAGGUUGAGGAGACAUUCUUGGAAUCUAUGUUCGGUGGCUUUUAGCACCAAGCCCAGCUAGCUGAGCUCAACUACUACAGAAAUUCUAGCUGCAGUCCUGCAUGUAACCUAGGGGUCCAAGGUCCGUGAUGCUCACUCUCCCCUGACCCCUGGAUCAGUGACCCUCCACUCUAGAGAAGCUGCAGUACACACUUGGGUACAGAUCGGUAAUGAGAAAACCAGAGUUGGAGAUGAAGUGUGAUUCUCUGGGGUGGAGCCCCUGCAAGCUGCAGGCCUUCUACAGCAGAGAAAGCCCCCUUUAGUGUUAGCAGCCGAUCACAGCAGGGUGUCACCUCCAAGGAUCCCAGAGUCACAGGCCACAAAGCUGGAUUCCUCGGCACUACCCCUGAGUGAUGUGCUGCAGCCCUAACUGGUAGGCCAGACUCUCCCGUGUUGGAACAGAGGUAGGGACUCACCACAAACCUCUUUCAGGGUUCUCUGCUUGCAAAUCAGAAGGAUGGAAUUCACAGGACAAUAAAGUCAAGAGUGACAGAAGUAGGAUUUAUUCAAGUGUGGAGAACAGAAAAAACUAUGGCAAUAGCAAGAGAGGAUCGCGACAGGGAUUAUCACCUGCGGCUGCUGGUCUCAGGGUUUAUACAGCCCUUGGGUCAACACUAUUGGUCCAAAGUUAUAAUAAGAGUUGGGAAAAAUACUGAUGCUCUUGGUACAAAGUUCUGCUAAUCAGCGUUUGGAAAAGUACCAGCCCUGAGCUGACCUUCCAGGCAGGUCUGCCCCACUUCCAUGGUCCUACCCCUGUAGGGGGUGGGAGGUGGAGGUUGUUGGAUGGUGGAUGCUUGGGGGUUCUAAGCUGCAGUGCUAUGCAGAGUGGGCAUCUGCACUGGGCCUAAGCCAGGCUGCCUGGGCCCUGGCUCUCCUAGGCCCUGGCCCUCUGCACCUCAGGCCCGUGCUGGCAUGGCGGGCUCCACAUAUCCUAGGCCAGUGCCAACCCCAAGGACUCCAGCCUAGGCUGUUGCUCCACAGCUCCAGGGCAAGGACCUGGUUCACUGAUGUUGGGGUGACCAGCUAGUCCUGCUAUGCCCAAGACUUUCCCAGUUUUAGCAUUAAACGUGGCACAUCGCAGGAACACACAGUCCCAGGCAAACCAAGAUUGUAUGUUGGUCCUCUUCUCCAGAAUCCUUAGGGAACUGGGUCUACCCUGCUAAGCUAAAUUUUCUUAUUAGCCAUAGAAUCUUAAAAUGAUUACUGAUCUUUUUCUCUGAUGUAGAAGUAACACAAACUUGUACAAAAUUAUAAAGAAAAAAAAUCACCAACAAUACCUCCCACCUUGCUGGGUAAAUAUGCGGUGCCAUGAUUUUCCACCGAGCACUGCGUCAUGAAAACCUUUCUCACGAUGAGACCUACCUCCCAAGGUGUGUUAGUAUCUGCCUGGGAGCCUCUGUGAACCAAUGCACCAUAAUUUUAACUGUUCCUCUUUGGCUGGACUUUGGUUCACUCCCCCUGACACUAUCUCUUCCUGCUUUUAAUGAAUGCUGUGAUUAACAUCCUCGGGCACAAAUCUUCUCUGUAGCACUUCGGGCAUUUUUUUUUUUAACCGCUAUCUUCUGUCUACUUGCUUCUCCUUUCUUUGGGUCCUGAGGAGUUUGCUCUGAUGCAGGGAAGUCCUGUGAACGCCAGGACCCUUGGUCAGGGUACUCCCACCUGCCCUCAGGUCACAGACACACUGAGAAUUCAGCUGAGGCUUGGUAGUGGUCCUAGUCUGAGCUCAAGGCGAGCACUCCGCAGUGUCUAGGGUAGGGUCUUCAUACUGUGAGCUCAGGCAGACCUGAGAUGGGGGAGCAGUUGUGAAUGGGAGGAGUAGCGAAGGACCAAGCGGGAAGGAAGCUGGGAUCCCAACCUGUGCUUCAACCUCAGCAGCUUCACAUUAAGCUACUUUUCAUGGGUAUUAUCUCUAGUCCUCUUAAGAACCUUGCAAAGGGUAUUCUCAGUGUUAAUUGGGGGGAAAAUAAAAGGUCCAGAGAGGGCAGGUGUCUGCUUCAUCCACUAAGUGAAACUUCUGGAUCCAAGGCCGGUUUUCCUGCUGCUCUGGAUGGACGGCAGCCUGUGCCUAGCUGCUGGAAGAGGAGGUGGAGGGUUCUGUGCUCUAGAUCCCAAUUCCAGAUCUGGGCAUUCAGUACAUUGGGGAGUAAGGGAAAAAGGAUCAAGUGAUGAAGUGGGAGCUAUAAAAAGUCCUAGAAAGUUACAAUCGUCCCUUGCAUCUUGGAGCACUGUCCAGUUGGUGGACAGAGCCACCCAAGAAAGCAUCUUAGAGAAAUGAGCCAGAACACUGUGUUUCAGUUUGGGGAACUUGGCCUUAGGGUCAUUCAGGGGUCCAGGGCUGUUGAGGAGAAAUACCCUGCAGGAUGGACUGGGGAAACACUGGGGCAGAGUGGGGCUGGCCUUAUAAGGAGUGGGAAGAGCUGGAGGUCACAAAAGGGAUGCAGUCAUGUCCCUGUUGAAUUCCAAAAACUGACCACACCUGAGCGUCCCAGAAAACAGAAGGCAAGGCCCAGGGCAUCUAGGCAGUGGACCUGCCCAUGUGCAGAGGCCAGCCUCACGCUGGGGCUGUGGGAGAGUCAUCCGACCCCAAAGAAGGCCCUGGCAUGAGCUGGGCCAGACGCAGGACCUCGCCAGCUGGAGAGCCUUCAGGAGGCGUCUGUGACAGUCCAGGCCUGAGGGUAAGGGUGACGCGGAGGACAAUGUGGUGGGGGAGAGCCCUGAUGUCUGCCCUGAGGCACCACAUAGCCAGGGUCUGGGAAGUCAGCCGGGGUGCCCAGGAAUCGUGGCUACUCAUCUGAACCCGGGUCUUGGAGCCAGGCUUAGCCCCCCAGCCAGUGAGUGAGGUGACAGGAGGCCAGGGCAGGAACCUGAGGGUGAGGGGUCGGUCAAGGUGUGGACUCUGCGGGUCUGCUCAGGGCUGACCUGUGCACGGCGGUCACCACGGCUGAGCCACUCCUACUGGGUCUGUGGUCACCUUUCGUCCUGUUAGCCCCAUGUCCCAGGCCAACUCCCUUCUCUGUUGAUAUUCUUCAAAUCACUCGAGGAAGGUGCUUCUUGCCAAAACGUCAAACACCAUUUCCCGAAGUAAAAAAGUACGAGUGCCCUUCACCUUCCUACACAUAUAAUUAAAAAAAAAUCAAUUUGGUGCAUAUCUUUCCAUGUAUGUUUCUAUGUAUUUUAAUAAAAAUAUGAUAAGUCUAG